GCAGAAAGGCGGAGGAGGGAAAUGUAGUGGCAUGGCAACAAUUUGAAUUCAAAGCAUUAAAAAAAGUAGCAUACGGAGUCCGCUUUCCUUCUUCCCCUCCUCAUUCCUUUCCUCGAGCUCUCCCUCUCCCUCUUCCUCUCCCUUUCCCCCCGUAGACGAACGCUUCAACCCCCCUUCUCGGCUGCUUCUCCUUCGUCUUUGAGCUGCACACGAUCUCUAGAGAGAGGAGAGAGGAUGGCGGGGGCGGGAUCGAAGCGGAACUACGAGGAACUCCGGCGGCAGAGGAUGGAGGAGAACAAGAAGCGGAUGGAGGAGCUCAACCUCUCCAAGCUCGCCUCUGCUCUUGCCGCAAGCCCCAAGGAGUCAACUUCGGUGAAAGAGAGCAAGCCACGCGGAAUCCGCAAGCAAUCGGAGCCGUCCUCUGCACCUGCAAGGAGGUCGAGCCGCGUAGCUAACUUGCCCCCUCGAAGUUACAAGGAAGUCCUUGAACUCGACCCUUCAGUGAGAGUGAGGGGCCACUCGAGGAGGGAUUUGUCGGAUAGAAUAUAUGCUUCUGAUGAGAUCAGGCAGUAUGCCGUUGACAGAGCAGGUCAACUUGAAACCCGGUUAGGAGCCACAUUCCCAAGUUUUGUGAAGCCUAUGCUUCAAUCUCACGUGACCGGAGGAUUUUGGCUGGGUCUUCCAAAUAAAUUCUGCAAGAAACAUCUUCCCCAUCGUGAUGAAACAGUAACUUUAGUAGACGAGAAUGGAACAGAGCAUCCAACAAAGUACCUCGCAGAGAAAAAUGGCCUCAGUGGUGGGUGGAGAGGAUUCGCCAUCGACCAUGAACUGGUUGAUGGAGAUGCUUUGGUGUUUCGGCUAAUCAAGCCUACAGUGUUCAAGAUUCUCCACAUUUUUGUGGGAAGUGAAACAAUAGCAACAUAUGUUCUGAUCUUCAGUUAUAUCCAAUCAUACUGGCAUGAGAGACUGCUUCUGCUAUGCUCAAACAAAACAACAUAUUUCACUUUGCUAGCUGUUCGUGUUUCUGUCCAGUGGGGAUUCUGUGUGUUCAUCACAGUAUACAAUUAUGUUUGUUCAGGUAUACAUUAUCAGGGCAUAUGUAUCUGACGAGGAACAAGAACCUGAAGAAAAUGCUAAGGAAGGACCAAAUGUCUCCCACUUGGACAGAAGUGCCAAACGAGUCCGAGCAAGCAAAAAGAAGUAAGACUCCUGGUGAAGAAGGGAAGGGAAGUUUUUGCCGACUUCGCCUCAUGUAAAUCUGGCGAUUUAAUGUAACACUUCUGAUCAUUAUUGGUAGCAGACAAUACAUAUGAUCAAUUAUUGGUAGCAGAUGCUCUUGAGACCAUCUGAUUUUCUCGCUAUUGGCAUCCUCCAGUUCUGUAAAACAAUAUGCAUGGAUUCUCUACUGUCAUCAUCAGUGCAAUGAAAAAUUCUAACGGAA